rnacentral:rRNA from 1 species
ACGAUCCCUUCGGGGUGACGAGUUAUUGACUGAGUGGCGGACGGGUGAGUAACGCGUGGGUAACCUACCUUGUACAGGGGGACAACAGUUGGAAACGACUGCUAAUACCGCAUAANCNCANAGCAUCNCAUGAUGCAGUGUGAAAAGUUUUUUCGGUACAAGAUGGACCCGCGUCUGAUUAGCUAGUUGGUGAGGUAACGGCCCACCAAGGCGACGAUCAGUAGCCGACCUGAGAGGGUGACCGGCCACAUUGGGACUGAGACACGGCCCAAACUCCUACGGGAGGCAGCAGUGGGGAAUAUUGCACAAUGGGCGCAAGCCUGAUGCAGCGACGCCGCGUGAGCGAAGAAGUAUUUCGGUAUGUAAAGCUCUAUCAGCAGGGAAGAUAAUGACGGUACCUGACUAAGAAGCACCGGCUAAAUACGUGCCAGCAGCCGCGGUAAUACGUAUGGUGCAAGCGUUAUCCGGAUUUACUGGGUGUAAAGGGAGCGUAGGCGGUUUUACAAGUCUGAUGUGAAAGCCCGGGGCUCAACUCCGGUAUUGCAUUGGAAACUGUAGAACUAGAGUGUCGGAGGGGUAAGUGGAAUUCCUAGUGUAGCGGUGAAAUGCGUAGAUAUUAGGAGGAACACCAGUGGCGAAGGCGGCUUACCGGACGAUUACUGACGCUGAGGCUCGAAAGCGUGGGGAGCAAACAGGAUUAGAUACCCUGGUAGUCCACG